AUGAAAAAUAAGUAAUCAUAAAUUAUUUAUUGGCUCUUCUUUUUCAUCAGUAUAGAAAAUAAAAUUGUGUGUUGUACAUGGGUUCUGGUCUCCUAAAAAGGCUUAGAAAAAAAUGGCAAACCUAUUAGUAGUGGAUUGUAUAGUGUCUCCCAAAAAUUCAGAAUAAGACCUUGUUUGGAAAUAAGGUCUUUGCAGAUGUAAUUAAUUAGUUGUCAUCCUGGAUUUCAGGUUAGCUUAAAAUCCAAUGACUGGUAUUUUUAUGGGAGAAAUGAGACGGACACACAGACCCAGAGGAGACAGAGACACAGAGUAGGACUUGUGAAGACAGAGGCAGCAGAUAUUAGAGUUAUGUUGCCACAAGCCAAGGAACACCAGGAGCCACAGGUAGGUAGAAGAGAAGAAUUGUCUCCUAGAGCCUGUGGGGGACCUGGCUGUACUAACACCUAAAUUUCCGUUGUUUUAAGACACUCAGUUUAUGUUAAUUUGUUACACCAGCCCGAGGACACAAAUACUCUAGGGUACAAAGGUCUGACUUCCUAGCUUAAUUUGAGAUAAGCUAAGAGGGUCAUUUCAGCUCCAGAACUACCCACGGAAUCCGCUGAGGCUGCUUCCACUAUUGCAUCACAGUUCAGCUUCUUUGCUGCUCAAUCCUACAUACUUUAUCACUUCACAUUUGUUGUUUCUGAAAGAGUUCCCCCAAUAAACCUCCUGUACUCAGUCCUCUACCAAGAGUCUGCUUCCGGGGGAAUUUGCCCUAAGAUAGUCGUAACAGGACUGGCCCUAGGAAGGAGACUCUAAAAUGAUAUUUUGGAGCUCCAUCAUCCACUUGCUGGUUUACAAUGAUCUCAUCAUAGACAGCAGAGAAGAGCAUCUCUCUCAGAGGAGGCACUGAACAGCCAAAUACACAGAAGAACUUGUUCGGUUGACAUCCUUCCAUCAGCUUCUGCUAUUGGCCACCUGGAUGCUGGUAAAAUGGGCAGAGAGGUAUAUCAGCCACAACUGUAAACUGGAGAGAACAAGAGCCUCCUAUCCUCUAGGAUUGCUGAAAAAGGAUAUAGUCUCUAAUCUGACUUUCAUCAGUAAUGAAGAUCGUUUUUAUUUUUAAAUUUGAUCUGCCUACUAUGUCUAGUGCUCCUUUGAUUCCAAACUCAAAUAGGAACAACACCAAAAAACAGUAUGAGUUACUGUCCACUCCCUAAACCUGCAACACUAACAGAAGAGUGCUAUUUCCUCCAAUAACUGUUCACUUCCUUCCUAUGACACGUAAGAUACCUAUGAGCAACCCAGAAGGGGGCUACAAUAGAGAUACUGUUAGGGCUGAUUAUGUAUGAUUCUCGAAGCGCUAGCUUGACCUCUACCUUAAAUAAAACGUAAAGAUAUA
rnacentral:lncRNA from 1 species